rnacentral:rRNA from 1 species
UACGGAGGGAGCUAGCGUUGUUCGGAAUUACUGGGCGUAAAGCGCACGUAGGCGGCUUUGUAAGUUAGAGGUGAAAGCCUGGAGCUCAACUCCAGAAUUGCCUUUAAGACUGCAUCGCUUGAAUCCAGGAGAGGUGAGUGGAAUUCCGAGUGUAGAGGUGAAAUUCGUAGAUAUUCGGAAGAACACCAGUGGCGAAGGCGGCAUCCUGGCCCUGUCCUGACGCUCAGGGGCGAAAGCGUGGGGAGCAAACCGG